CUCUACAAGUGCAGACAUAGCAUGCCGCCACCAAAACCACUUUCAACCUGACUUGUGAAAUAGUCCUUGCAGGUUUGAUUUGGUGAAUACUUAGAGUAAAUGUUUGCCAUGUCUCUCAAAAGUAUAGUAAAAGAAUACUUCUGAAACACACACACAAGACUUCUCCCUUCUGCCCCCCCUUAUCCUGGAUCUAGGAAAAUAAAUAGUCAUUUAAACUCCAAAGAUGCCAGGAGGCAGAAUUAAUUUCCUGUAUGCAAUCCAACAUGCUAUGGUUUAAAGGACUUGAAAUGGCCAUAUCUGUCACCAUGGAAUAACCCAACCAAGGCCAAAGGAAAGCAAAGCCAAGUACUGAAGACCAAAUACUAUCACUCACUCACUUAGGUAUCUCAAGUCUACUCCAAAAGAAACAAUAUGAAAUAUUCACUGCAGCCAUUUGGACUCAUGAUCCCUGCUAACUGUAAGACUUGCAAAUACACAGGCUAUAAAGCUGGUCAGUGCUCAGCUCUCCUGGAUAAUUGUUAUAAAAUGUCUGCAGUGGGAGCUGGCACUCGCAUUUCAUCAGUACUGCAGCCAAGAUGAAGGACUAUGGCAGCAGUAAUAGGCUGACGAACAUGUUGCUACCCAGCUGCUAAACUGGAUCAAAGGGGGACACCAACCUCACUUCAGCUGCCUGCUGCAUUACAAGGCAAAAGGUGGGGCUGAAAGCACAUGAGGAAAUAGGACUGGAGGGGGAAAUUAAAGCACUUCAGUCCAUAAUCAAGAUCCAAGUGCCUGAUCAGGGACUGUUGCCUAAGCUAGCAGGCUACUAAAGUCCUCCUCAAGGGUUGCUUGGUGCCAGUGCACAAGCCUGCCUUAGUGCAGGGCUUGGACCUGAGGCUCCCUUUGCCUGCUGAUGCCUCCUAAGCUUUCAAAGCCUUUCCUGGUUUUCCUCUUCCCCAGGACUCUGCUGUGACCUGUGCCAGCUCCCACCCACCUCCUGGGAGCUGAUGACUGUAGCCUGCUGGCUCAGGUAUGCCUGGGAAGUAGGAACUGCACACUUCAAUGCCCUUUGCUGAAGGAAGGAAUUAGACGACUCUUCUACAGCCUGAGUAAGGCUGUUUGGCUGCUUAGAGUUUGAAAGAAAAAUUUGGCACCUACCUUCAAAAGAGGAUUAUGGGUUAUGAGCUGAAAGUGGAGGGUGUGCUUGUGUGCUUCAUUCACUAGAAGGCACUUAAACCCAGGAGAGACCUAGAAUUAAGGAUGAACUGUGAUCUUCAGCUUUUCCUAUUUGUCUGGCUUAGGCAGUUCACUGAACAGUGUUUUUUAUUUUCAGAUGUUAGCAGAAAUCAUGUAUUCUUAAUAGAAAUACUUCUGAUGUGCUUUGUGGAAGGCUUGUUUAACCAUGCUAA